rnacentral:rRNA from 1 species
UACGGAGGGUGCGAGCGUUACUCGGAAUCACUGGGCGUAAAGGGCGCGUAGGCGGUCUAGCAAGUCUGGUGUGAAAGCCCAGGGCUCAACCCUGGAAGGGCACUGGAAACUGCUAGGCUUGAGUUCCGGAGAGGAGGGGGGAAUUCCCGGUGUAGCGGUGAAAUGCGUAGAGAUCGGGAGGAAUACCGGUGGCGAAGGCGCCCCUCUGGACGGAGACUGACGGUGAGGCGCGAAAGAGUGGGGAGCAAACAGG